CUGGAACUAUGAGGUUGGUGACAGCAAUUACUGUACUCCUAACUUUGGGCAUCAUGGGUGAUGCUAAAACAACCCAGCCAAAUUCAAUGGAGAGUACUGAAGAAGAACCUGUGUACUUGCCUUGCAACCACUCCACAAUCAGUGGAAGCGAGUAUGUAUAUUGGUAUCGACAGAUUCUCCUCCAGGGUCCAGAGUACGUGAUUCAUGGUCUAAAAAGCAAUGUGACCAAUAGUAUGGCCACUCUGGCCAUCUCUGCUGACAGGAAGUCCAGUACCUUGAUCCUGCCCCGCGUCACCCUGGGAGACACUGCCGUGUACUACUGCAUCGUGAGAGACCACAGUGGCACAGAUGGGGCUGCACCUGUGCAAUAUCUCCCAGAGCGGAAGGGAGCAGCAGCAGCCUUCUAA